rnacentral:lncRNA from 10 species
UCAGAAUCGGGGGAGGAAGGUGAGAGAGGAAAGCAGAAUCCAAGAAAAGCCUUCCCUGGGAAGCACAGACGUGGCCUUGGGGCCUGGGGCUGAGAAGCCGGUCAGGAAGGGGCAGGCGGACACGGGGCCUCGGGGCCUGGGGCUGAGAAGCCGGUCAGGAAGGGGCAGGCAGACACUGCCUCUGCUGGUUGUGGGUUCAGGGCUGACGUGGCUGUGACGCACUCUGCUCAGGGUUCAGCGGGUCCUGGGUGCAGUGGUGGAGCUGUCACUGCUCACAUCCUCAUGGAACCACGUGCCAGUGACGGGGAUAGAUUUGCAGCCAGCAGCACAGCCAGACACGAGGGGCUGAGGAGGAGUCAGCAGACCAUGUAUUUGUUGUUGUUCUAAGAAACCUUUUCACUCGUCCUGCUUUGGUGACAUUCUCUCUUGAGGUGAAGCUUUAGGAAAACAGGGUCCAAGAUGGACAAACAGGAUGCUUUACGGAAUGGUCAGUGUUUUUCCAGCAUGGCCCCACCCCUGCUGGGAUGGUCCGCGGCCAUUGUGAAAAACAAGUGAGUUGGAAACUCACCCAGUUCCCAGUCAGCCCAGAGUCAGGGAAUAAAUGGACAACCAGAGAGAGCCAGAGUCGCUACAGCCAGCCUGGCAGUGCAAGCCCGGAGCUGACACAGGGCCACAGCCACGAUGCAGCCACUAAUGCGGACCCUUGGGCUGAGCCUGCUUUCCAUGCUGUGAGCCCAGGGGACCCAGAUGGUUCCUGUCCCCGCUGAGAAGGUGGAAGGACUGUGGCACGCCCUGCGCUGGGAGCAGGACAGGGAGCUACUUAAAGAGGAGACGGCUCACCCUCUGCCACCAUUCUGGAUCCAGCGUUUCCAGGGUAACUUUAUGUUAAAAAUGAAUGUAAGAUGGGACAGUCCAGUUGCAGGAAAAUGAGCUCAGGGCUCCCACCGAUUCUACACUAUGGGAUCCCACUGGGAACUGCACAGUAUUUAAGACACUGCUGGUGAAAACAGACAACUCUACCACGUACAGAAUCUAUUCCUGCGUGGUCGGCUGUAACUGAGGUGAGUGCCACAAGGCCUCUGCGUGUGUUCAGAGUGUCCACACCAGACUCCGGCCGGACUCAUGGGCCCUGGGACUCCGCAGCCCUCGACCUUGGCAGCCUCCUUGCCUGUGGGUGCUUGAAUGCCACGCAGCAUCCGACACAUCCCACAACCUUGAGUCUGCUAUGAGUCAAGUGUGGUCGCUGUAGAUAAGGAGGAAAAAAGAUCAUGAAAAAGAACAACAACAACAAAAAAUCACUCAUGGCCGGGCGCGGUGGCUCAUGCCUGUAAUCCCAGCACUUUGGGAGGCCAAGGCAGGCAGAACACGAGGUCAAGAGAUCAAAACCAUCCUGGCUAACACGGUGAAACCCUGUCUCUACUAAAAAUACAAAAUAUUAGUCAGGUGUGGCGGCAGGCGCCUAUAAUCCCAGCUACUCGGGAGGCUGAGGCAGGAGAAUGGCGUGAACCCAGGAGGUGGAGCUUGCAGUGAGCCGAGAUCGCGCCACUGCACUCCAGCCUGGGCAACAGAGCAAGACUCCAUUUCAAAAACAAACAAACAAAAAUCACUCCUAAGCUCACCACCCAGGCCAAUGUACUCCAGAAAAAGGGAGAAGGCUUCACCACCUCCCUGUGUGAUUUCAUGUCCCAAGCUCUGUGUCUCAGGGUGUAGGAAGCCCUCUGUUGAAUAAGUCCACCCUCCCUGGCCACAGCCUUAGUCCUACUUGCUGUUUGGGAACAGAAGAUCCCUGCCCGGUGCCUACAGAGGGGUGGGCAGAGGCUGAAACCCUCCUCCAUCUUCCCUCCCAGGCCCCAGGAGCCGAAGAUUCCUCUUCUCACGACAUGAAGCUCCCCUCCCCUCCUCCAGUCCUCAGCUUUCCUUUCUAAGAGAGAAGAGACCGGGGCCUGGGCAGUGAGUGGACAGGACUGUCCCCCUGUCCUCCUCUGUAGGUGCACGCCCCUACAGGUGACACCUCUGGGUCCUCCACACCCUCAGUAGGAGCUCCAGGGCAUGGCUGGUCUCCCAGCCACACGGGAAGCCACAGGAUCCCCAUGGGACAUCCCCAGCCACGUGCCACACUCAGUAACCACCCGUGGGCUUGUGUGCAAAUCCCUGAAGUCAGUGAUGGCUCAAAUGUCGUCUCUGCCACCGUGGAGGUUGGCCAUGGGGGAAAGGUGACGGGGGCAGAAGGGUGAGGGCUCCAAGUGGCUCGAGGAAGGGGCCAUGGUGUGAGCAGGGGCACGGGCGGGCAGUCAAGGAGCUGGGAAGGGCCAGCCAGUCCUGCCCUGGAGCCUCCGGGAGGAGCCAGCGCUGCGGACACCUUGGCUGUAGCCAGGGAGGCUCACUUUGGACUUCCAACCUCCACACCUGUCAGAGGCCACGAGUGUUUAGCCAUUAAAGAAACCUCCAGGGGCUGCGGUGACAAAUGACCACAGACUCAGGAGCUGAACACAACGCACAUGCAUUGUCUCACAAUUCUGGAGUCAAAAGUCUAGAAACAGUCGGUGGGGCUGGUUCCUUCUGGAGACUUCUGGGAAGGGGAGAAGCCGCUUUCUUGGCUUUCCCAGUUUCUGGAGUGGCUGCAUCCUGCACUCUCGGCCCCGCCAUGCCACCAAGGCCUCCGUUUCUGUAGCCUCUGCUGCUCUCUGGCAUCUGCACGGUUGCCCCGAAGCCGCUCCGCGACGGCCCUCCCUGAGCUGUGUAGCGCUGGGGGGAGGAGGCGUGGCCACAGUGGGCUGCAUUCAGGAUCUUGAAAGCCACUGAAGCCAUGGCUGGCUCUCAGUCCUCAGGGAGCCUCUUCCCCUGCCUGGCACCAGGCUCCCAGAAUCUGGGAGGCAGCCUCUUCAUCUGGCUGCUGGUGGAGACCUGAGCCCAGCCCCAGGGUCCUCAGUCCUGCCCCUUGUCCUCCGCAAGCUCUCACUACAUCCUACCUAUGUCCAGGGACCUCGGCCCAUGCAUCUGCCCAGAUCCCAGCCUACCCGAGAGCAUGCAUCCCCAACUGGACCAGCACCCAACACAGCCCAGGGCUCCCCUGACCCACAUAAACCUUGUUAAUAUUGCCUCUGUGGUCUCUGCUUGUUGCCUGAGGGGUGGAGGUGGGGGGUAUCUGCUCAGACUGGCUCCAGCGCGUCCUAAGGCCAGGCCCUUCCCAAAGGAGAGUGAAGCCAGGCCCCAUGAGUCCCAGCUGGACAGGAAG